rnacentral:rRNA from 1 species
UACAGAGGUCCCAAGCGUUGUUCGGAUUCACUGGGCGUAAAGGGUGCGUAGGUGGCGGGGUAAGUUUGAUGUGAAAUCUCCGGGCUUAACCCGGAAAUGGCAUUGGAUACUAUUCAGCUCGAGGUUUGGAGGGGGGACUGGAAUUCUCGGUGUAGCAGUGAAAUGCGUAGAGAUCGAGAGGAACACCAGUGGCGAAGGCGAGUCCCUGGACAACACCUGACGCUGAGGCGCGAAAGCGAGGGGAGCAAACAGG